rnacentral:rRNA from 1 species
CUUUAAAUUAGUGGCAAACGGGUGAGUAAUGUAAAGGAAUCUGCCCAGCAGUAUGGAAUAACCUUGGGAAACCAAAGCUAAUACCAUAUAUUACCCUCCGGGGGAAAGAUUUAUCGCUGUUGGAUGAGCCUUUAUCGGAUUAGCUAGUUGGUAGGGUAAUGGCCUACCAAGGCAAUGAUCCGUAGCUGGUCUGAGAGGAUGAUCAGCCACACUGGAACUGAGACACGGCCCAAACUCC